AACGAACGCUGGCGGCAUGCCUAACACAUGCAAGUCGAACGAGACCUUCGGGUCUAGUGGCGCACGGGUGCGUAACGCGUGGGAACCUGCCCUUAGGUUCGGAAUAACUCCCCGAAAGGGGUGCUAAUACCGGAUAAUGUCUUCGGACCAAAGAUUUAUCGCCUUUGGAUGGGCCCGCGUUGGAUUAGCUAGUUGGUAGGGUAAAAGCCUACCAAGGCGACGAUCCAUAGCUGGUCUGAGAGGAUGAUCAGCCACACUGGGACUGAGACACGGCCCAGACUCCUACGGGAGGCAGCAGUGGGGAAUAUUGGACAAGGGGCGAAAGCCUGAUCCAGCAAUGCCGCGUGAGCGAUGAAGGCCUUAGGGUUGUAAAGCUCUUUUACCCGGGAUGAUAAUGACAGUACCGGGAGAAUAAGCUCCGGCUAACUCCG
rnacentral:rRNA from 1 species